GAUGAACGCUGGCGGCGUGUCUAAUACAUGCAAGUCGAGCGAACGGACGAGAAGCUUGCUUCUCUGAUGUUAGCGGCGGACGGGUGAGUAACACGUGGAUAACCUACCUAUAAGACUGGGAUAACUUCGGGAAACCGGAGCUAAUACCGGACGAUAUUUUGAACCGCAUGGUUAAAAAGUGAAAGACGGUCUUGCUGUCCCUUAUAGAUGGAUCCGCGCUGCAUUAGCUAGUUGGUAAGGUAACGGCUUGCCAAGGCAACGAUGCAUAGCCGACCUGAGAGGGGGAUCGGGCACACUGGGACUGGGACACGGUCCAGACUCCUACGGGAGGCAGCAGUAGGGAAUCUUCCGCAAUGGGCGAAAGCCUGACGGAGCAACGCCGCGUGAGUGAUGAAGGUCUUCGGAUCGUAAAACUCUGUUAUUAGGGAAGAACAUAUGUGUAAGUAACUGCGCACAUCUUGACGGUACCUAAUCAGAAAGCCACGGCUACCUACGUG
rnacentral:rRNA from 1 species